GAUGAACGCUGGCGGCGUGCCUAAUACAUGCAAGUCGAGCGAACGGACGAGAAGCUUGCUUCUCUGAUGUUAGCGGCGGACGGGUGAGUAACACGUGGAUAACCUACCUAUAAGACUGGGAUAACUUCGGGAAACCGUAGCUAAUACCGGAUAAUAUUUUGAACCGCAUGGUUCAACAGUGAAAGACGGUCUUGCUGUCACUUAUAGAUGGAUCCGCGCUGCAUUAGCUAGUUGGUAAGGUAACGGCUUACCAAGGCAACGAUGCAUAGCCGACCUGAGAGGGUGAUCGGCCACACUGGAACUGAGACACGGUCCAGACUCCUACGGGAGGCAGCAGUAGGGAAUCUUCCGCAAUGGGCGAAAGCCUGACGGAGCAACGCCGCGUGAGUGAUGAAGGUCUUCGGAUCGUAAAACUCUGUUAUUAGGGAAGAACAUAUGUGUAAGUAACUGUGCACGUCUUGACGGUACCUAAUCAGAAAGCCACGGCUAACUACGUG
rnacentral:rRNA from 1 species